UACGUAGGGGGCAAGCGUUGUCCGGAAUCAUUGGGCGUAAAGAGCGUGUAGGCGGCCCGGUAAGUCCGCUGUGAAAGUCCAGGGCUCAACCCUGGAAUGCCGGUGGAUACUGUCGGGCUAGAGUGCGGAAGAGGCGAGUGGAAUUCCUGGUGUAGCGGUGAAAUGCGCAGAUAUCAGGAGGAACACCUAUUGCGAAGGCAGCUCGCUGGGACGUAACUGACGCUGAGACGCGAAAGCGUGGGGAGCAAACAGG
rnacentral:rRNA from 1 species